UACGUAGGGUGCAAGCGUUGUCCGGAAUUAUUGGGCGUAAAGAGCUCGUAGGCGGUCUGUCGCGUCGGAUGUGAAAACCCAGGGCUCAACCCUGGGCCUGCAUUCGAUACGGGCAGACUUGAGUUCGGUAGGGGAGACUGGAAUUCCUGGUGUAGCGGUGAAAUGCGUAGAUAUCAGGAGGAACACCGGUGGCGAAGGCGCUCAUCUGGCCCAAUACUGACGCUGAGGCGCGAAAGCUAGGGGAGCAAACGGG
rnacentral:rRNA from 1 species